rnacentral:rRNA from 1 species
GGGUAAGAACCUCACCUAUCUUGAUAUGUAGGUGGGGUUGUGAUAUAUUGUGCCCAGUGGGCCACUUUUGGUAAGCAGAACUGGCGCUGUGGGAUGAACCAAACGCAAUGUUACGGUGCCAAAAUUUACAACUCAUGCAGAUACCAUGAAAGGCGUUGCUUGCUUAAAACAGCAGGACGGUGGACAUGGAAGUCGUAAUCCGCUAAGGAGUGUGUAACAACUCACCUGCCGAAGCAACUAGCCCUUAAAAUGGAUGGCGCUUAAGUUGUAUACCUAUACAUUGCCGCUAAUGUAGAUGGUUUAUAUGAAAUUUCGGUUUUAUAUAAAUUUUGAAACAUUAGUGAGUAGGAGGGUACAA